UUCCAUGUGACCAGUCCAAUUGUUGUCAGUUCCUAUCUUCCUGCUUUACAGUUAUUGAAUCACAGGCCCAAUGCCAUCUUUAAAUCGGACCAUUCACUGUGUGGUGGCUAGCACAGUAAUUACGUUGCCGAAUAUGUGAAAAGUUUUGAACAGCCAUAUGGAAGGAAGGAAUAAUUCUCCCAUUUGGGAUGAUGAUGAUGAUGAAUGGCAUAGGUAAAUGAUUCUAUAGUGGAAAUUUGUAAUGGAAAUUUGUAAUGGAGGGGCAUUUAGAAUUUACUUUUCACAUAUUCGGUAACGUAAUUACUGUGCUAGCCACCACACAGUGAAUGGUCCGAUUUAAAGAUGGCAUUGGGCCUGUGAUUCAAUAACU
rnacentral:misc_RNA from 1 species